rnacentral:rRNA from 1 species
CCUACGGGGGGCUGCAGUGGGGAAUUUUGCGCAAUGGGCGAAAGCCUGACGCAGCAACGCCGCGUGGGUGAUGAAGGUCUUCGGAUCGUAAAACCCUGUCGUUGGGGACGAAGGUGGGGGCGUUAAUAGCGUUUCUGCUUGACGGUACCCGGAGAGGAAGCCCCGGCUAACUCUGUGCCAGCAGCCGCGGUAAUACAGAGGGGGCAAGCGUUAUUCGGAAUUAUGGGGCGUAAAGGGCGCGUAGGAGGUUGGUAAUGCCCGAGCUCAACUUGGGAACGGCAUCUGAGACUGGAAGGCUAGAGUACUGGAGAGGGUGGGGGAAUUCCUGGUGUAGCGGUGAAAUGCGUAGAGAUGAGGAGGAACACCAGUGGCGAAGGCGGCCACCUGGACAGUAACUGACGCUGAGGCGCGAAAGUGUGGGUAGCAAACAGGAUUGGAUACCCUGUAGUC